rnacentral:tRNA from 1 species
GUCGAAGUGGUGGAAUUGGUAGACACGCUAUCUUGAGGGGGUAGUGGGCAAUCCCGUGGGGGUUCGAGUCCCCCCUUCGACACCA